rnacentral:rRNA from 2 species
CCACCCUUUAAUGUUUGAUGUUCUAACGUGGAUCCGUAAUCCGGGUUGCGGACAGUGUCUGGUGGGUAGUUUGACUGGGGCGGUCUCCUCCUAAAGAGUAACGGAGGAGCACGAAGGUUGGCUAAUCCUGGUCGGACAUCAGGAGGUUAGUGCAAUGGCAUAAGCCAGCUUGACUGCGAGCGUGACGGCGCGAGCAGGUGCGAAAGCAGGUCAUAGUGAUCCGGUGGUUCUGAAUGGAAGGGCCAUCGCUCAACGGAUAAAAGGUACUCCGGGGAUAACAGGCUGAUACCGCCCAAGAGUUCAUAUCGACGGCGGUGUUUGGCACCUCGAUGUCGGCUCAUCACAUCCUGGGGCUGAAGUAGGUCCCAAGGGUAUGGCUGUUCGCCAUUUAAAGUGGUACGCGAGCUGGGUUUAGAACGUCGUGAGACAGUUCGGUCCCUAUCUGCCGUGGGCGCUGGAGAACUGAGGGGGGCUGCUCCUAGUACGAGAGGACCGGAGUGGACGCAUCACUGGUGUUCGGGUUGUCAUGCCAAUGGCACUGCCCGGUAGCUAAAUGCGGAAGAGAUAAGUGCUGAAAGCAUCUAAGCACGAAACUUGCCCCGA